AGCGAACGCUGGCGGCAGGCCUAACACAUGCAAGUCGAGCGGCAGCGGGAAAGUAGCUUGCUACUUUUGCCGGCGAGCGGCGGACGGGUGAGUAAUGCCUGGGAAAUUGCCCAGUCGAGGGGGAUAACAGUUGGAAACGACUGCUAAUACCGCAUACGCCCUACGGGGGAAAGCAGGGGACCUUCGGGCCUUGCGCGAUUGGAUAUGCCCAGGUGGGAUUAGCUAGUUGGUGAGGUAAUGGCUCACCAAGGCGACGAUCCCUAGCUGGUCUGAGAGGAUGAUCAGCCACACUGGAACUGAGACACGGUCCAGACUCCUACGGGAGGCAGCAGUGGGGAAUAUUGCACAAUGGGGGAAACCCUGAUGCAGCCAUGCCGCGUGUGUGAAGGAGGCCUUCGGGUUGUAAAGCACUUUCAGCGAGGAGGAAAGGUUGAUGCCUAAUACGUAUCAACUGUGACGUUACUCGCAGAAGAAGCACCGGCUAACUCCGUGCCAGCAGCCGCAGUAAAAC
rnacentral:rRNA from 1 species